UUCAUCUCCGGGGGUAGAGCACUGUUUCGGCAAGGGGGUCAUCCCGACUUACCAACCCGAUGCAAACUGCGAAUACCGGAGAAUGUUAUCACGGGAGACACACGGCGGGUGCUAACGUCCGUCGUGAAGAGGGAAACAACCCAGACCGCCAGCUAAGGUCCCAAAGUCAUGGUUAAGUGGGAAACGAUGUGGGAAGGCCCAGACAGCCAGGAUGUUGGCUUAGAAGCAGCCAUCAUUUAAAGAAAGCGUAAUAGCUCACUGGUCGAGUCGGCCUGCGCGGAAGAUGUAACGGGGCUAAACCAUGCACCGAAGCUGCGGCAGCGACGCUGAUGCGUUGUUGGGUA
rnacentral:rRNA from 1 species